rnacentral:lncRNA from 10 species
AUCAAAUCAUCAUGCAUUGAUCGGUUCUCAUGUGACAGGCGUCCUACUCCAUUCCUGGGGAGCAGUGGUGGGGAAAGGAAUAUCAUACGGACAUGCAGGAAACAGUCUGAAGAAACAAGCCUUGCAAAAUUCCCCCCAGUUUACCAUUAGAUCAUAUCCUUUUUGUACAAUCACAUUUCUCUACAACUAUCUGCUUCUUUCAUCAGACUUAGCAUAAAAAUAUAGUUUUCCCUGGGUGUUGGAGUCUUCAUUUCUGUUGGCCCCUGUGCCACCUAAAACUUUGUACAUAAAUUUAUUAUGCUUUUCUCUUGUUAAUCUAGCUGUUGUUUUAGCGGUGUCAG